rnacentral:rRNA from 1 species
GAUGAACGCUGGCGGCGUGCCUAAUACAUGCAAGCCGAGCGAACGGACGAGAAGCUUGCUUCUCUGAUGUUAGCGGCGGACGGGUGAGUAACACGUGGAUAACCUACCUAUAAGACUGGGAUAACUUCGGGAAACCGUAGCUAAUACCGGAUAAUAUUUUGAACCGCAUGGUUCAAAAGUGAAAGACGGUCUUGCUGUCACUUAUAGAUGGAUCCGCGCUGCAUUAGCUAGUUGGUAAGGUAACGGCUUACCAAGGCAACGAUGCAUAGCCGACCUGAGAGGGUGAUCGGCCACACUGGAACUGAGACACGGUCCAGACUCCUACGGGAGGCAGCAGUAGGGAAUCUUCCGCAAUGGGCGAAAGCCUGACGGAGCAACGCCGCGUGAGUGAUGAAGGUCUUCGGAUCGUAAAACUCUGUUAUUAGGGAAGAACAUAUGUGUAAGUAACUGUGCACAUCUUGACGGUACCUAAUCAGAAAGCCACGGCCAACUACGUG